UACAGAGGUCUCAAGCGUUGUUCGGAUUCAUUGGGCGUAAAGGGCGCGUAGGCGGCGGGGUAAGUCGGGUGUGAAAUCUCAGAGCUCAACUCUGAAAUGGCACUUGAUACUGCUCUGCUAGAGGACUGGAGAGGAGAUUGGAAUUCACGGUGUAGCAGUGAAAUGCGUAGAUAUCGUGAGGAAGACCGGUGGCGAAGGCGGAUCUCUGGGCCGAUAUUGACGCUGAGGAGCGAAAGCGUGGGGAGCGAACAGG
rnacentral:rRNA from 1 species